UUUCAAUGUGUGUUUUAUGGAAGAAACUUGAUGUAAAUGUUUAGACAGUUAUGGUUUUGGAGAUAAAUAUUGCAGUUUUAUGGAGUUUGGGGUCUGACGUACCAGAGUUGUGAUGCACAGUUGUCAAUUCACUGAACAUCUAAAGCUGUUCGAUCGUUGUAUCCAGUUCCAGUGUGGGAUGUACUUUCUUUGGCUAAUGAAAUACAGUGUUGUAUUUGUGUAUAACAGAUUGCACAUCAGAAAGUCCAAGCAGGAUUAAUGACCUGGGAUUCUCUCUGCACUGAUGCAGAGUGCAGGGAGAACUUGCACAGACCUCCACACAGUUCCCCUGAGCUUCUUGUCACCCUGUAAAUAGAGUGCUUCAGUGAUACGACCUCUCACAGCAGGUUAUCCUCAGCCCUAAAUGACCUCGCUGGGUAAACUGCUUCUGAAGGAACGCUGUCUUACUGAUCUGAGGCACCAAAAGGACCAGCUUCUGGGCACUGAGAGUUGUGUAUCUGUUACGUGUUGGAAUGGUGUGACUGUAAGAUUAAGUCCCUGUCUGCUACUGGCUGGUCUUCAACAUCUUCAGAGAUGAUUCCAGGGGAUCGCUGGCUAUCUGCAUGUUUCCUUGUCAUCUCAAACAAGGGAUAAUGCUCUCCUGGGAACAGUUUCACCUCGAAGAGACAGGCAGCUCCUCAAAACAAUAUGGUUAAUCUUCAAGAAUUUGUCUGCCAGCUGUCUUCCAGGAAGCAGAAUCAAGGAAUGGCCUGGUUAUCAAGGGUGGCUGGCUGGAGACCUCCUCUGCCUUCUCCUCUACCAUUGUCACUCUUGCUAUGAUUUACUUAAGGUAUGUUCUGAACCAGUGGAACAAAUGUUCUGUGCUCUCAAAGGCAAAAACUGCCUUGGAAACCAAAGUCAAACCCAAAGAAGGGAAGUGAUGGCCACUCAUUUUGUUACAAACCUCCACCUCAUUUCUGGAGUCCUGUCUGAGAUUUUCAAAUAUAUGGACUUUACAGGACAAAACAGAGGGGAAUGGCAGAGAGGAACAGCUGAGAACAAGGGAGCCACACGCAGGAACAUUGUUCUGUACCACACUUCCGACUCAGCCCGAACAUUGCCUUCCUGUGGACACUGCAGAGCUUCAGUGGGCCUGAAGCUUUGCUGGACGAAAGUUACACAACAGGAAACAAACAAGAAAUGGAGCCAAAUGCAACAAACAAACCCCCAGCUGAAGGGAACAAGAAGAAAGAAAGACAGAGAGUGACUUCAGCUCUGUAAAUCUUUC
ensembl:lncRNA